GAAGAAUACCCGGGGUAGAGUCUGGAUCCGAGAAGUUCAUCCUCUCCGGAACACAGGCACUGCGAGGAAGGAGAAACGGAAGAACCUCAGCCCAGCUCCUCUUCUACAAUGUGUCACCAUCUCUGAUCCGACUCCUCUUCUAUGCUGUCUCACCAUCUCUGAUCUUAUUUGACUAAGAAUUAACUGUUCAAACCAGAAAGUCCGAUUUUUGAAAAUUCUCAAAGUUACAGAGACCGUCAAUGGCUUCUUUGUGAUGUCCAAAGGAAACUCCAUUUUCCUAAACCCUGGCAGUUAGACAAUAGCCAGCAUUCCUCAGGAAUUUGUUGAAGCCAUUGUCCCUUAUCACUGGCAGGAGUGGCAAAUGGCUAACUGUGAUGCCUGUUAGCACACCACAGAACUUGCUGACCUCCAGGUUUGCUGAUAUCAAAAGUACCCUCCCCUACCCAAUCUUAAGCUGCACCAGCUCAUGGGCUUCCCGCCCCCAGCUUCUCAUUUGCAUAUAACCCUGCUCUUGAUCCUCUCUUCCUUGAAUGCUCUUGUUCUCCCUGCUUUUGCCCCCUCCCUCAUUCUUCCUGCUUUUGGCCUUUUCUCUUGGUCUCCUUUGCCUGAACUUUAUCUUCCUCCCUCCCUCCACUCCACCAGUCUGCUGGUCAUAUUCCGUCCACUGCGUUCUCUAUCUGCUCUGAAGCUCUUCCAGAUACCUCUAACUGUCCUCUCCAUUGUAUUACAAUAGAAACCUUCCUGUCAAUCAUACCUUUGAAGAGGCACGUUGUCAGUUUAGACUUCUGGUAGCUUUACCUUCAGGUUAUCCAUCUGGUGCCGAAACACUCAGUUUAUACAUUUAUCGGAGAAUGACGCAAUAGACAAUGAGGCAGGAGGAAAAUUAAAGCAGGUUGGUGUAGAAGUCAAGAGAUUAGCAUUUGCCAGGAGGAAGUCCCUCUUCCUAACGCCAAUCCUAAAAGAGUUUUUGCCUCUGCUGACCUCCUCUAUCACCGCCUUCUGCGAGUUUUCAUUCUCCGUGUUCAUGGUCCAAUGCCAUAUUACAGUUCAUAAAUCUUAAUUACCCUGAAAGGGUCUUCAACACCCUCUCCUGUCAUGUCAGUAGUGUGCAAUCACAGUCAUCGAGCCUGGACCCAAGUGCUCCUCAGCCUCCCUUUCCAGGCACAACCCCGUCUUAAACCUACAUCUCGACUCACUUCUCAUCCAGCAUCUAAAGGCUGCACUCAGCCUAAUUUCUUGUUGUAGAAGGAGCAGGCUGUAUUCCUGGCCUGGCUAGCUUACCCCGUGAAAUAACCACACGGAAACUGUAUUAAUUUAAAUACUGCCUGGCCCAUUAUUUCUAGCCUCUUAUUGGCUAACUCUUACAUAUUUAUUUAACCCAUCUCCAUUAAUGUAUAUCGCCGCUUGACUGUGGCUUACUGGCAUGAGUCUAACCAGCGUCCAUCUCAGAGAGGAGAGCCAUGGCGUCUGCCACACUUCAUUCUUCCUCCCAGAAUUCAGUUCUGUAUUCUCCACCCAUCUAAGGGCUGCCCUAUCAAAGGCCAAGGCAGUUUUCUUUAUUCAACCAAUGAAAGCAACACAUAGAAAGAAGACCCUCCUACACCAAUUACUCUUCUUUCGUUACUGUGUUUUCAAUAGGAUGCUCUUUAUACAUUCCAUUUUGCUUUCUGGUACAGAGCUUUUGCUCAUGCUGUACCCUCCUCCCAAAUACCUUUAACUUUCACCUCUCUCCUAAAAUAUAAUUUUAUAUGGGAAACUUUAUUAUUCCCCCAAAUCAGUCAGAUCUUUCUAGUAAAUACUCUCAGCAUCACCAUGUAGAAUCAACCGUGGGGGCACAAGGAACUAGUUAAUUGGAAAGAAUUCUGUUUCUUGUUCCCCAUGGUGCUACUGUUAAGUAAGCACUCUAUGCCUUACUGAAUGAAUGAUUGAGUCACACAGCACAGUUGGAUAUGACUUUCUUGCAAGCCUAAGUCUGUGUCUAUUUUCAUGCAAUCAGCCACUGUGGGUAAUUUACAUGUUUCCAGAAAUCAAGUGACAAUGCUCCCAUGUCCUUCCAUCCUUUAUCACCUCUACCUGCUCCCAAACUUCACAAUGUCCCCAGUCAUCCUCAAGAUACUCCAUUCUUAAUCUUUGGAUUUUGUUUCAACUAGUCUUAAUUUCUCAGCUCAAACCUUGGUAUUACGCAAGACUUGUUAUCACAGACCCAUCUUUAGACUCUUUCUAGUCUUGAUUAUGUACAGAAAAAGCCUCCUAGUUCUACAGAUGUGAAUCCUGAUGCUUCCCAGCUGCCCAGCGUUCUUGCCCAAGCAGUGCAUGCCCCUUGCUUGUGGAGUUUAGACCAAGACAAGCAGUCUUUCAGUAUCACCUACCAGCUAUACUGUGGAAGUAUUCUGAAUCCAAAGGACCCAGCAUGGCAAGUGACUCCUGCCCUUCUUUUAUACCGAGUAUUGCUUCAUAUAGCUCACAUGUGAGAAGAUUAUAAAAUAAAUGUUAAAACAAAUAUUCAUUGUGUUAAAGCUAAUUUCUCAGGCUGGUACUGGAAUCCCAUCUGAUAGAGAAUUAUUUUUAUCUGAAUGGAUUAAAAAAAUAUUUAUAAAGCUCUUUACGUUGAUGCCAACAGUCUAGAGACAAGAGAAAGAUCCAAAGAUGCUUUUCAUGAGACAAGAUAAAGGUCUUGUCCUUAAGAGAAAGACAAAGAGAUAAAAAGGUGAAAUCUUUGAAAUGAGUCAAGGUCUGGUAAGGUUUCCUGGGAAUGGUGUUGCCAAAGUCCAUUUUUAUGAAGAGUGAGGCCGACCUUUCCUUUUGAAGGAGUUUGCACUAUACACCCACGUUAGCACUAAUCCUCCCUCUUCCCCAGAACUUUGAAAGCAUUUCUGUUGCUACAACAAAGUGUGGGAGGCCAGGUGAUUUAUAAAGCAUAAAGAUCCAGUCAGACCUCUUCUGAAGGCUGGGAAGCCCAAGAGCAUGGCACUGGCAUCUGUCCAUGCUGGAGAGGGCUGUCUCCUGCAUCAAGACAUCUCAGAGAGCUCCACAUAGCAAGACAGAGCAAGCCUGUUAACUUGCUCUUCCUUUGCCAUCGAUGCUAACAUGGAGGCCCCAAGCUCACUAACGAUAUAUCUAACACUAAUUACCUCCAAAACCCCACCUCAAAUAUAUUGACAAGACUUUGGGGAUCAAAUUUUCAGUAUAUGAAUUUUAAAGUGAUGUUCAUCACUGUUUUUUAAUAAAUGGAACUGGUCCAGUUUUGUUGGUGGUAGUGGGCGGUGGUGGUUGUCGUAGAUUUAAUUCACAGAGUAGACAGAGUUGUAGGGGGGAUGCCCCUCUGUAUGCUGUGAAUAUGUCUUAUAUUACCAUUGGUUAAUAAAGAAGCUGGUUUGGCAAUCACCAGGCAGAAUAGGGCCAGGUGAGAAACCCAAGCAAAGAUAAAGGGAAAAAGAAAGUGGAGUCAAGGGAGACACCAGUAACCACCAUGGAAGCAAGAUGUGAGGUAACUAGUCUUGAGCCUCGUGGUAAAAUAUGGAGUAUUAGAAGUAAGUUGAUUUAGUUGUAAGAGCUAGUCAAUAAUAAGCCUGAGCUAAUAGGCCAAGCAUUUUGUAAUAACAUUAAGCCUCAGAGUGGUUAUUUCACAAUUUCACAAGCUGCUACAGGACCAGGCAGGACAAAAAGUUCCCAAUUACAGAGCUGUGUGAGGUAUGAAUGGAGCCACAGUAGCACACAGAGAAAAGCCCGGGAGGAAGAGGCCUUAAGAAUGCAAGCUCCACUUUGUCCCUUUUAUGGAAAUUUUGAGAAAUAUUGGGAAAGCCAUUGUCAAUGGACAUGAGAUACCUCAGCUCAUCUCAUGAGAGAUGGGGGGGCCUCAGUAAAACAUAAAUAGAGACAGAAAAUUCAAAGUGUGCACCAUUAAUCCACUAUUUUUCAAAAGCUAGGUUACCUUCGCCUUCAUCUCCACACUCACAUCCAAAGAGGAAAUAGGACGCUGUGAAGAGUCAGUGCACACAACCCGGCAAGUGUGACCAAAAGAAGACAGGCUCCAUUUCCCCUCUUCACUCUGCCUCCAAGCAAAUCCUUCGACAAUCAGAGCAAUAAUGCAGAAGGGGGAAGAAAAAGAAACAAAGAAGUAUCAGAAAGGAAUAAAGGAAUUUAAAAAUA